GGGUGAGUAAUAUGUAAGUAACUUGCCUUAACCUUAGGUAUACCUCAUAGAAAUUUGAGAUAAUCCCUUAUAUAAUUGCUAAACAAAUGUUUUUCAAUGAAAGCUCCGGCGGGUUAAGAUAGGCUUGCAUCCUAUUAGCUAGUUGGUAAGGUAAUGGCUUACCAAGGCAUAUGGGUAGGGGUCCUGAGAGGGAGGUCCUCCACACUGAUACUGAGAUACGGAUCAGACUCCUACGGGGGGCAGCAGCAAGGAAUAUUGGUCAAUGGGCGAAAGCCUGAACCAGCUAUGUCGCGUGUAGGAUGAAUCUUUUAGGAGUGUAAACUACUUUUUUAUGAGAGCAAAGUCCUUUUGCGAAAGGAGAUGAGAGUAUCAUAAGAAUAAGUACCGGCUAACUACGUGCCAGCAGCCGCGGUAAUACGUAGGGUGCAAGCGUUAUUCGGAUUGACUAGGGUCUAAAGCGUGCGUAGGUUUUUUUCUAAGUCAAAGGUGAAAUUUUAGUGCUUAACGCUAAAGCUGCUUUUGAUACUGGAGGAAUUGAAUUGUUUUGAGGUAAGUAGAAUUUACAGUGGAGUAGUGGAAUGCGGAGAUAUUGUAAGGAAUCUCAUUAGCGUAGGCAGCUUACUAAGAAUAAUUGACGCUGAUAGCACGAAAGGCGGGUAGCAAACAGGAUUAGAUACCCUGGUAGUCCGUUCUGUAAACGAUGAUUACUCGAUGAGUCUUAUUGAUUUGUCUAAGCGAAGGCGUUAAGUAAUCCACCUGGGGAGUACGCUCACAAGAGUGAAACUAAAGGAAAUUGACGGGGGCCCGCACAAGCAGUGGAAUAUGUGGUUUAAUUCGUAAGUACACGAGAAACCUUACCUGGGCUAGAAUGCUCUUGAUAGCUUAAGAAAUUAAGUUUUCUUCGGACAAGAUGCAAGGUGCUGCAUGGUCGUCGUCAGCUCGUGCCGUGAGGUGUAGAGUUAAGUCUCUUAACGAGCGAAACCCUUAUACUUAGUUGCCAACACGUAAUGGUGGGGAAGUUAAGUAGACUGCCUGCGUAAGCAGAGAGGAAGGUAAGGAUGAUGUCAGAUCCUCAUGGCCCUUAUGCCCAGGGCUACACACGUAUUACAAUGGCUUAUACAAUGAGUCGCAAACUGGUAACAGCUAGCUAAUCUUAAAAGUAAGUCUCAGUUCGGAUUGAGAUCUGCAACUCGAUCUCAUGAAGUCGGAAUUGCUAGUAAUCGUGUAUCAGAAUGGCACGGUGAAUACGUUCUCGGGCCUUGUACACACCGCCCAUCAAGCCAUGGAAGUUGAAAAAAUCUGAAGAUAGUUUAUUAAAAAACUGUUUAGGGUUAAGUCGGUAACUGGGGCUAAGUUGUAACAAGGU
rnacentral:rRNA from 1 species